rnacentral:rRNA from 1 species
CCAAGUAGAGUGAUCGAAAAGAUGAAAAAGCACUUUGAAAAAGAGGGUUAAAAAAGUACGUGAAAUUGUUGAAAGGGAAGCGCCUAUGACCAGACUUGGGCCCGGUGCAUCAUCCAGCGUUCUCGCUGGUGCACUUCGCCGGGCACAGGCCAGCAUCAGUUUGGCGCGGGGGACAAAGGCUCUGGGAAUGUGGCUCCCCCGGGAGUGUUAUAGCCCACUGCGUAAUGCCCUGCGCCGGACUGAGGUACGCGCAUCGCAAGGAUGCUGGCGUAAUGGUCAUCAGCGACCCGUCUUGAAACACGGACCAAGGAGUCGUCUUCGUAUGCGAGUGUUCGGGUGUCAAACCCCUACGCGGAAUGAAAGUGAACGCAGGUGAGAGCUUCGGCGCAUCAUCGACCGAUCCUGAUGUUCUCGGAUGGAUUUGAGUAAGAGCAUACGGGGCCGGACCCGAAAGAAGGUGAACUAUGCCUGUAUAGGGUGAAGCCAGAGGAAACUCUGGUGGAGGCUCGCAGCGGUUCUGACGUGCGAAUCGAUCGUCAAAUAUGGGCAUGGGGGCGAAAGACUAAUCGAACCUUCUAGUAGCUGGUUUC